UGAUUUUUUCCCAGAUGGUUCGAAUGUUGGAUAUAUUGGCAGAAUAUAUGUCACUUAGGGGUUUCCAAUUUCAAAGGCUUGAUGGUAGUACAAAGGCUGAGUUGCGUCAGCAGGCUAUGGAUCACUUCAAUGCACCUGGCAGUGAUGAUUUCUGCUUCCUUCUUUCAACUCGAGCUGGUGGCCUAGGCAUCAAUCUUGCUACAGCGGACACAGUUAUAAUAUUUGAUUCGGACUGGAAUCCCCAAAAUGACUUACAGGCAAUGAGUAGAGCGCAUAGGAUUGGGCAACAAGAAGUAGUUAACAUAUAUAGAUUUGUCACUAGCAAAAGUGUUGAGGAGGAUAUCCUGGAGCGAGCUAAGAAAAAGAUGGUUCUUGACCAUUUGGUGAUCCAAAAAUUAAAUGCAGAGGGUAGAUUGGAAAAGAAAGAAGCAAAAAAGGGAAGUUAUUUUGACAAAAAUGAGUUGUCUGCAAUUUUAAGGUUUGGUGCAGAGGAACUGUUUAAAGAGGAUAGAAAUGAAGAAGAAAGCAAGAAGAGACUAUUAAGUAUGGAUAUUGAUGAAAUUCUUGAAAGAGCAGAGAAAGUUGAAGAGAAGGAAGCUGGAGGAGAGGAAGGGCAUGAAUUGUUGAGUGCUUUUAAGGUUGCCAAUUUCUGUAGUGCUGAAGAUGAUGGGAGUUU
rnacentral:misc_RNA from 1 species